GAUGAACGCUAGCGGGAGGCCUAACACAUGCAAGCCGAGCGGUAUUGUUUCUUCGGAAAUGAGAGAGCGGCGUACGGGUGCGGAACACGUGUGCAACCUGCCUUUAUCUGGGGGAUAGCCUUUCGAAAGGAAGAUUAAUACUCCAUAAUAUAUUGAACGGCAUCGUUUAAUAUUGAAAGCUCCGGCGGAUAGAGAUGGGCACGCGCAAGAUUAGCUAGUUGGUGAGGUAACGGCUCACCAAGGCGAUGAUCUUUAGGGGGCCUGAGAGGGUGAUCCCCCACACUGGUACUGAGACACGGACCAGACUCCUACGGGAGGCAGCAGUGAGGAAUAUUGGUCAAUGGGUGCAAGCCUGAACCAGCCAUCCCGCGUGAAGGACGACUGCCCUAUGGGUUGUAAACUUCUUUUGUAUAGGGAUAAACCUACCCUCGUGAGGGUAGCUGAAGGUACUAUACGAAUAAGCACCGGCUAACUCCGUGCCAGCAGCCGCGGUAAUACGGAGGGUGCAAGCGUUAUCCGGAUUUAUUGGGUUUAAAGGGUCCGUAGGCGGACUUAUAAGUCAGUGGUGAAAGCCUGUCGCUUAACGAUAGAACUGCCAUUGAUACUGUAAGUCUUGAGUAUAUUUGAGGUAGCUGGAAUAAGUAGUGUAGCGGUGAAAUGCAUAGAUAUUACUUAGAACACCAAUUGCGAAGGCAGGUUACCAAGAUAUAACUGACGCUGAGGGACGAAAGCGUGGGGAGCGAACAGGAUUAGAUACCCUGGUAGUCCACGCCGUAAACGAUGCUAACUCGUUUUUGGGCUUUAGGGUUCAGAGACCAAGCGAAAGUGAUAAGUUAGCCACCUGGGGAGUACGCUCGCAAGGGUGAAACUCAAAGGAAUUGACGGGGGCCCGCACAAGCGGUGGAUUAUGUGGUUUAAUUCGAUGAUACGCGAGGAACCUUACCAAGACUUAAAUGGGAAUUGACAGCUUUAGAAAUAGAGCUUUCUUCGGACAAUUUUCAAGGUGCUGCAUGGUUGUCGUCAGCUCGUGCCGUGAGGUGUUAGGUUAAGUCCUGCAACGAGCGCAACCCCUGUCACUAGUUGCCAUCAUUCAGUUGGGGACUCUAGUGAGACUGCCUACGCAAGUAGAGAGGAAGGUGGGGAUGACGUCAAAUCAUCACGGCCCUUACGUCUUGGGCCACACACGUAAUACAAUGGCCGGUACAGAGGGCAGCUACACAGCGAUGUGAUGCAAAUCUCGAAAGCCGGUCUCAGUUCGGAUUGGAGUCUGCAACUCGACUCUAUGAAGCUGGAAUCGCUAGUAAUCGCGCAUCAGCCAUGGCGCGGUGAAUACGUUCCCGGGCCU
rnacentral:rRNA from 1 species